rnacentral:rRNA from 1 species
GCAACUACGCUGCCAACUGACCAGGAAACCUCGAUCGGGUGCGAUGCAGAGGUGGGCAUGGGUACAGAAAAGAUUAGUCCACGCUCGCCAAGUGCAAGGAGAGAGGCGGGGAGGAGCGACCGCUAACGCCAAACGCCUCCGCCGCCGUCGGUACAGCUACCGCGGCCUCCCUGUUAGAACUUCGUUCCCGAUGGGGAGAGAGAGGACGCACCUAAUAGGGGGGAAAGGGAGAAGUACGCCAUCGCUGGUCCUCCGCUUGACCCGACACGUAGCUAAACCACGCUCGAACCGCCGCCGUUGCUAGAAAAGGCCGCAGGGAGAGGUAGCAGUCGCCAGAAGAGCAACCCAUUUCUUUCCCAUUUUUCUGGUUCUUUAAUUCCUCUACUUUCUCUUCUCUACUCGAACGUAUGACUUCCCCCACUACCUCUUUUGGAAUCGAGCAGUCACCCUAGUUUAGUUCCUCCACCCCUAGUGCGUCCUCCUCUUCGACGCCUCCUCCUUGUUGUGGUCUCAUAGAAGAAUCUAGGUCGGUUUGCACUAUCGGGACAAAGAACAGAUAGAAGAGACAAAAUCUACUUGACAAUAAGGAAUAGAGAAGAAAUCUCGAGGUGACGAUUUUUUUUUAUCUUGGUCAAGGCCGGUAAAAGUGAACCUUACCUAAACCCUACGACGAUGACAUAAAUCCUACCAUAGGGUAGUAAGACUUAGACGAAGUCUUGACUUGUGAUCACUGCGAAGUCUUGAAAGACAUCCACGUCUGGACUUCUGAUCACUCUGUGUCAUCGUUGAUCGCUUUUACUGUUCACGUCUUAAAACAAAAGGAAAAUGUUAAGUAGCAUGUAAAACAUCGAGAAACAGUGGAGACACUUUCGUGACGUAUGCGGAAGUCAUGUGAUUGGAAAGAGUCCAAACGAAGAGUGUAAAAAUGUUACACGAAUUCCUCUUACUACUUACCAAUUCGUGGAUAAAUAAAGAUCAAAACUAAACAACUACGUGUGAGUCGUGUUCUUAUUUUGACAUGUACGAGGUUAAAAUGCAACUACAUUUGUUCGCUACGUUAGAUGAGGGAGGCAAGGGUUUACAUUCAGAAAAUUCUAUGAGGUUGUUCACUGAUAUAUGCCUCGUUUUACUCGCUUAUACGUGAGAUUUUAUACAGAUGUAUGUAGGCAUAGAAUAUCAGAUAAACUUUACAGAUUUUUCUGAAUGUAAAUCCUUGCCUCCCUCAUGCAACGUACGUUCAAACCUUUUACAUAAUCAACCUGUACGAGGAUAAAAAACAACCGGGAUAUAGAGAAUAGAAACAGAGAGUCUUAAGAAUGUUUGUCCUAAUCCUGGAGAGUCACAUAAUCAAAUUGACAACUCCCAGGGUUAGGACAAAGAUAAAACCAAGCAGAACAAAAUCGAGGAUGACUGGAACAAGUACCUAUGUUGUUGGCUCUUCGCGUUCUACUAAAACGUUCAAAACCAAGUCAACUGUGAAUUCACAAAAACAAUGUCUAAACAUCGAGGAGAAAGAAAAUUAGAAGAAAGAUUUUUCAUUGAGGUGACUAAUCAUCCUAGUUAUUGUUUGUAUUAUUUCAACGGUGUGAACGUAAGAACCUUCUAGGUAACUUCCUUGUACCGUUUAGAGUGGUUAACUACAAACAAAAUUUCUUUUUAUCGAGCUGUGGUAGUGUAAACGUACCCGUACAGAUCCAAAAAGGAGAGUUCCUUUGCGUGAGUAAGAGAAGACUCAAACUCAAAUUAGACAUGACAUGAUAAAGGUAAUCGUGAUACGUAAAGUCAAAACCUGUGAGAUUACCGUUGUAAUCCAUACGAAUCGUUUUGAUUAGUAAGACCCUAGUUGUGUAGUAUACUGCUAUGUACCCGAAAUCAAUGGAGUAUCUUGACACAUGUACAAAUAACUAGGUUUUUUCUACAGAACAUUUUGCACUAGAACUACUACCGUAAUGGGAAAUGAGAUGGAAGCGUGUUAUACAGGUACAUAUAAAUUACGCUAGAAAGUGAUAUCUUGUUAUCAUCAACAACAUUCAAAAAGGAUUUCAAAGACGGUUUUAGUAGUACAAUCUCGGUGACCAAAGACCUUUGACAUUACCCCUUCUUGGGUAAAUAGUUAAAGUCUUGGUCCUAAAAACCCAACGUAUAAAAUAUUACACAAGCUAACAAACCUUGAUCACCUUAUUUUAACGUAUCGUUAUAAUUUAAAAUGUACAGGACACAACGGAGCAACUGGAGAUCAAUCCAUCGUCAAGAUACAACCAUAACUCGACCAGUUGUCUUUCACGUAUCCGCAGGACGCCGUAGAUGGUGUUGCGUUCGUAUCGACGCUGGAACCAUAGAUCGGAGAACGUUUAAAAGAAUUCGAACAUCAAACCCAAGAACGUUAAAAAGAGGUCGAACAUCAAACCCACCUACGAUCCACAAUUAAAACAACCGUACAAGAAGAUGACAAAGCAGUAAGAGUACCUCCUUGUUUAUAGGUUACAGUUUUCCUUCCAUAAACAAAGGUUGAUCGCAACAAAGAACUACACCAAAUAUAGUUAACUUCGCGCCAAGUAAGAGAUCAAGUCAAAAACAAAAACCUCACUAGGUGCACUCCGGCGUGGUAUAUUGAUUCGAGAUCAAUAACAGUAGUUAGUACUACUUGAGGUACCUUUGUAUUACAAAAGAGGAGAAACGUCUUAAGGGGAUCACACAUAGCUGAAAUCCCGAUAACACAUUACCUGAACACAUUAACGGAAUACUUUCAGUGACGAACUUAAACGGAACGUAAAAAACAUUCCAUACCUUCUUUCAAAAAAACCAUCUUACAUGUACUACUCGUUAAGACCAAGUAGCCAACGUGGUAUACGUUUAUGCGUACAUAAAAAAAUCGACUGGAAUAGAGUGAACUAGGUGCAAAACACUAAAAUAGUCCUUUUACCGUUUAUCACUUAGACGAUAUUAGUUCCUUCCUUCUUCGACAAACAUUCGCUGAACCUCUGAUUCAUAGAACUCUGUGAGUUGUACACGAUCAAAAUCAAUAUAUCAUGGUUACGUACCCUCUAUAUGAUCAACUAUCAGUAAUGCAACGUGCUUAGACAUCUUUUGUCAAAAUAUAACGUUUGAAAAUACCCGUGUGCUCCGGUACACUCUUCAAGAAUACGGCAGACUAAAACCAGAACGACUAAUAAGAAUAAAGCACACUAAAAUGUUAUUCGAUAUCACUACGUAUAAAGUAAAAAAAAGAACAGGACUGCACACUUUAUGUCCAAAAUAUUUAUUUAUUUGCUG